rnacentral:rRNA from 1 species
CUGGCGGCGUGCUUACACAUGCAAGUCGAACGAUGAAGUGGAGCUUGCUCCACGGAUUAGUGGCGAACGGGUGAGGAACACGUGAGAAACCUGCCUCGGAUUUUGGGAUAACAAAUGGAAACGUUUGCUAAUACCAAAUAACGUCGGAGAGUCACAUGGCUUUCUGACGAAAGGAAUUCCGAUUCGAGAGGGUCUCGCGGCCUAUCAGCUAGUUGGCGGGGUAAUGGCCCACCAAGGCAACGACGGGUAGCUGGUCUGAGAGGAUGGUCAGCCACACUGGGACUGAGACACGGCCCAGACUCCUACGGGAGGCAGCAGUGGGGAAUCUUGCGCAAUGGGCGAAAGCCUGACGCAGCAACGCCGCGUGCGGGAAGAAGGCUUUCGGGCUGUAAACCGCUUUCAGCAGGAACGAAAAUGACGGUACCUGCAGAAGAAGGAGCGGCCAACUAUGUGCCAGCAGCCGCGGUGAUACAUAGGCUUCAAGCGUUGUCCGGAUUUAUUGGGCGUAAAGAGUUCGUAGGCGGUCGAGUAAGUCGGGUGUGAAAAUUCUGGGCUCAACCCAGAAACGCCACCCGAUACUGCUUAACUUGAGUUCGAUAGGGGAGUGGGGAAUUCCUAGUGUAGCGGUGAAAUGCGCAGAUAUUAGGAGGAACACCGGUGGCGAAGGCGCCACUCUGGAUCGAUACUGACGCUGAGAACGAAAGCAUGGGUAGCAAACAGGAUUAGAUACCCUGGUAGUCCAUGCCGUAAACGGUGGGCACUAGGUGUGGGAUUCUAUUAACGAAUUCCGCGCCGUCGCUAACGCAUUAG